rnacentral:rRNA from 1 species
UACGUAGGGGGCUAGCGUUGUCCGGAAUCAUUGGGCGUAAAGAGCGCGUAGGCGGCCAGAUAAGUCCGGUGUGAAAGUCACAGGCUCAACCUGUGAAUGCCGCUGGAAACUGUCUGGCUAGAGUCCGGGAGGGGCGAGUGGAAUUCCUGGUGUAGCGGUGAAAUGCGCAGAUAUCAGGAGGAACACCGAUGGCGAAGGCAGCUCGCUGGAACGGAACUGACGCUGAGGCGCGAAAGCGUGGGGAGCGAACAGG